UAAGGGUGCCUGACAAGUCGAAAUAAAGUUAUAAAAUAAAAAUUUCUCAAUAUAUCUCAAACCCGAAUAUUUGGCCUCCGUGAACAACUAGGCUGAAUUACUCACCAAAACAAGUCUGUAGCUGAUUAUCUCCAGGAGAUACGCACCAUCUCCGAUCAACUCUCAAUUGCAGGAUCACCAACGUCUAAUGAAGGUGGUGCAAAUUCUGGCUGUUUAAUCCUGUCUCAAUAGAAAUACAGCAGAUCUGCUUCAGGAUUCUUAUAUGAAUGAUAUUAAUGGUUUACAAGUAAAAUUUAACCUAACAAAUAAUCACAGCAUGGCUUCCUUCACGCGUAUACCAUCACCAGCUACUGCUUAAACUUGACACUCUCUCACACCUCAAAGCCAUAACCAAAAGCACACUAUCACGCAACAAAUUGAAGUCAAUGUAUAUUUACUGUGCAAUAUAAAGUAAGAAUUAUAUACAACUGAGCCAUUCAUUCUUAAAGUCUUGUAUUACCAAUUCAGCUGUUAUGUAAAUUAACCUAAAGCCAGCUACUUUUGCAGCCAUAUAUAUGGAUGUGCAAAAAAAUAUUUAAUAAUUUAUGAAUUAGCUAUUUUAUAUGUAAAAUUUGCAUGAAGCCAUUAAAAUUAUUCUUUAAUUAUUUAUUUAUUUAUUUAUUUGAUAAAGUCUUUUUAUAAAAAAAAUUCUUAAAACUUAUGUAAUAAUAAUCAUAUCUAUCCAAUAGCAUAACAAUAAAAGUUAAAAGGACAUUUAUAUUGAAGGUCAAACAAAUUUAUCUAUUUAAAGAGCAAAAUUAUUAAAAAAACAUCAUUUAAACACUAUUAAAUUUAGAUGACAAACAAUAUAUAUUAUUCAGCAUUCAGAUAUUUAAUUCAUUCAUAUCAUUCCAAUAAUCAGAUAUUUUAAUCAAUUAGAUGUAACUCAUUCAGAUUUGCCAAAUGACCUUAACUCUCUAAUUAAUAUAUUUUUUAUAUUUAAAAAUAAUAGCUGUGGUUCUGCACGGUUUACACGUUGGAAUGUUUGUACUUCACCAUCUAUAGACUUGUAUAACAGAUACAAUGCAGUGGAAGGCAGGGUGGCAGUUUCGGGUAACGGGUCGUGUUCGUGUCAGCAAUCGGGUCGAUUUCGAGUUGAUUUCGGGUCAAGCUAAAAUCACUUAAAAUUGAAUAAAACUUAAAAUUGAAAUUAUUAGAAACAAAAUUAGAAUUUCGGGUCAUGUCGGGUCCAUUUCGUGUCAAAACGGGUGAUUUUCGGGUCACUUUCGGGUUUUGUCUCAGUAAAUCGGGUUACGGGUUUGGGUCGGGUUCGGGUCGGGUUCGGGUCGGGUUCGGGUCGUGUCUGAUAUUGCCGGCCCUUUUGUGCAGCUAGUGUGAAAUGCCAUUGAGCAAGAAAGGGAUUGAUACUUAAACAAAAUACUGUGGAUUAACUCUUAUAUCCCCUGAACUCCUUUUAAUAUACUAGGGGUUUUCUGUACUAAAUAAAGUAAUCCACAAUAAAUAAAUCUGUGUUAAGCCCAAGUCCUGAGCGGAGCUAUUGAUAUCAUACAACACUUUGUGCGUAUAACAGGUUUAAUUUGGGCGAACAUAUUAAAUGGGAUUAUAAUGUGGGUGACGCAGACUUACUUGGACGAAUGUUUGGAAGCUAAGUGUUGCACACGCAGCUGGUAUUAUCAACGUCUGGAAUGGAUUAACGUUCUUCUUAUCAAUACCUUUUGCAUUCUUUGCCGACUCAUUCCUUGGAAAUUUCUAUAUGCUCCUGUUCUCCUGUUUUGUAGAUACCAUUAUAAGUUAUUUUGUAGUGUAUGCUGUAUACACAUAUCAUAUAUAAGUGUAUGUUUAAAUAUAUAUUAUCAAUAUGUGUAUCUAUAACGCUCAAUUUGUCAUAAAAGAGUUACUUCUCUACUAUUCAGGGGUUGAUGCUUCUAACUGUGUCAAUGCCAGCAUUCAAUAUCGGACAAUGUAGCAAGUAUGAGCCAGAAUGCAUUAGUCGAACACAGAAAAACGUUUUUACAUUUCUUUAGCUUUGAUAGCAUUGGCAGUACGCAGUCGCGUAUCCCGGGUCCCAUUCCUUGAAGAACAAGAUGAAAAACAGAAAGAAGAAGCAACGGACAGUAACAAAUAAAUUGUAAUUUUUGACUUCAGCUUGGGCCAACAAUUAGGCUGCCUUGUCCUGGUGGUUGCUACUAUAGGACGUUUUGUCUUGCCAUUCUAGAAAGCAAGGAUACUUCAC
rnacentral:lncRNA from 1 species